rnacentral:RNase_P_RNA from 1 species
GGAAACUCCACCCACCGCGUGGGAACGUGACGCCGCGAGGCGUAGGGGGAGACCCCUGCUCUUGGAGCAGAAACGACACGUCCACAGGCUAGAUGACGAUGAGGCGGCUGAGGCGGGGCAUAAAGCCCUGCCGAGAAGGCUCCCGGCAACGGGAGCUGAGCUAACCCGUUGAGUAGGCCUGUGGGAGCGUUGAAACGGCCAACCCACGGGGUGCAAGGGCGAGUAGGGGCUGAUGAGGCCCACGCGAAGCCCGGGUAGCCCGCUUAGCGGAAUGCCGCCUAAAACAGAAGGUGGGUUACGGCCAACUCAC